rfam:Dipodomys ordii contig_29506, whole genome shotgun sequence.
GGUGGCUCAGUGGCAGAGUGCUUGCCUUGAAUGCAUGAGGUCCUGGGUUCGAUUCCUCAGCACCA